UAUACGACCGUACCGCAAACCGACACUGGUGCGCGAGAUGAGUAUUCUAAGGCGCUUGAGAGAACUCAGGAGAAGGAACUCGGCAAAUUGACACCGUAACUUCGGAAGAAGGUGUGCCCUAUUAGUGUGUAGUGAACAACGAAGCAUGAAUGGGUUGCAAAAAAUCGGUGGCUGCGACUGUUUAUUAAAAACACAGCACUCUGCAAACACGAAAGUGGACGUAUAGGGUGUGACGCCUGCCCGGUGCUGGAAGAUUAAAUGAUGGGGUGCAAGCUCUUGAUUGAAGUCCCAGUAAACGGCGGCCGUAACUAUAACGGUCCUAAGGUAGCGAAAUUCCUUGUCGGGUAAGUUCCGACCUGCACGAAUGGCGUAACGAUGGCCACACUGUCUCCUCCUGAGACUCAGCGAAGUUGAAAUGUUUGUGAUGAUGCAAUCUCCCCGCGGAAAGACGGAAAGACCCCAUGAACCUUUACUGUAGCUUUGUAUUGGACUUUGAACAGAUCUGUGUAGGAUAGGUGGGAGGCUUUGAAGCAGGGUCGCUAGAUCUUGUGGAGCCAACGUUGAAAUACCACCCUGGUGUGUUUGAGGUUCUAACCUAGGUCCAUUAUCUGGAUCGGGGACAGUGCAUGGUAGGCAGUUUGACUGGGGCGGUCUCCUCCCAAAGCGUAACGGAGGAGUUCGAAGGUACGCUAGUUACGGUCGGACAUCGUGACGAUAGUGCAAUGGCAUAAGCGUGCUUAACUGCGAGACUGACAAGUCGAGCAGAUGCGAAAGCAGGACAUAGUGAUCCGGUGGUUCUGUAUGGAAGGGCCAUCGCUCAACGGAUAAAAGGUACUCUGGGGAUAACAGGCUGAUACCGCCCAAGAGUUCAUAUCGACGGCGGUGUUUGGCACCUCGAUGUCGGCUCAUCUCAUCCUGGGGCUGUAGCCGGUCCCAAGGGUAUGGCUGUUCGCCAUUUAAAGAGGUACGUGAGCUGGGUUUAAAACGUCGUGAGACAGUUUGGUCCCUAUCUUCCGUGGGCGCUGCAGAUUUGAGGAAGCCUGCUCCUAGUACGAGAGGACCGGAGUGGACACACCUCUGGUGUAUCGGUUGUCACGCCAGUGGCAUUGCCGAGUAGCUAAGUGUGGAAGAGAUAACCGCUGAAAUCAUCUAAGCGGGAAACUCGUUUCAAGAUGAGAUCUGCCGGGGCCUUGAGCCCCCUAAAGAGUCGUUCAAGACCAGGACGUUGAUAGGUCAGGUGUGGAAGCGA
rnacentral:rRNA from 1 species